GGUUGGCUUAGAAGCAGCCAUCCUUUAAAGAAAGCGUAAUAGCUCACUGGUCGAGCCGCCCGGUACCGACAAUCCAACGGGGCUCAAGCGUAGUACCGAAGUUGCGGGUCACUCGAAAGAGUGGCGGUAGGAGAGCGUUCCUUUCAGCUGCGAAGGUGGAUCGUGAGAACCACUGGAGCGGAAGGAAGUGACUCUGCCAGCAUAAGUAGCGAUAAACCAGGUGAGAACCCUGGUCGCCGUAAGACUAAGGUUUCCUGAGAAAGGUUAAUCCGCUCAGGGUUAGUCGGAGCCUAAGGUGAGGCCGAAAGGCGUAGCCGAUGGACACACGGUUAAUAUUCCGUGACCUCCUAAGGAGAUACCGAUGCGGGGACGCAGCCUCGAGCUUGCAGCUGGCAAUGGUGUCCAGCUGUGGGGGAGAGGAGGACCGGAGAGGAAAAUCCGCCGGUUCGUCUGCCAGGAAAAGCCGCUAAGGGCCAAGGGAGUCCGUACCACAAACCGACACAGGUGGUCGAGAUGAGUAUUCUAAGGCGCUCGGGUGAUAGGUUGUUCAGGAACUAGGCACAUUGACCCCGUAACUUCGGGAGAAGGGGUGCCCACCUCAGACGUGGGCCGCAGAGAAUAGCGCAGGGCGACUGUUUAACAAAAACACAGGUCUCUGCUAAGUCAUAAAAACGACGUAUAGGGGCUGACGCCUGCCCGGUGCCGGAAGGUUAAAAGGAGGGGUUAGACGCAAGUCGAAGCUCUGAAUUGAAGCCCCGGUGAACGGCGGCCGUAACUAUAACGGUCCUAAGGUAGCGAAAUUCCUUGUCGGGUAAGUUCCGACCUGCACGAAUGGCGUAACGAUCCUGCGACUGUCGUAACAACCUGCCCGGCGAACUUGUGGUUCCGGUGAAGACGCCGGAUGCCCGCCACUAGACGGAAAGACCCCGUGCACCUUUACUGCACCCUAUCAAUGAAUUAUGGGUCGGUCUGCGCAGCAUAGGUGGGAGGCUUUGAAUUCGGACUCUUGGGUUCGGAGGAGCCAACAUUGAGAUACCACCCUGAUCGUUCUGUGAUUCUAACCUAGCUCCGUGAUCCGGAGCAGGGACAUUGUUAGGCGGGUAGUUUGACUGGGGCGGUCGCCUCCUAAAUUGUAACGGAGGCGCCCGAAGCUUGGUUCAGGAGGUUUGGAAAUCCUCCUUCGAGUGCAAUGGCAUAAACCAGGUUGACUGCGAGACCUACAAGUCAAGCAGGUGGGAAACCAGGGCAUAGUGAUCCGGUGAUUCUGUAUGGAAGGGUCAUCGCUCAACGGAUAAAAGGUACGCCGGGGAUAACAGGCUGAUCGGAGUCAAGAGUUCACAUCGACGCUCCGGUUUGGCACCUCGAUGUCGGCUCAUCGCAUCCUGGGGGUGUAGAAGCUCCCAAGGGUUAGGCUGUUCGCCUAUUAAAGCGGUACGUGAGCUGGGUUCAGAACGUCGCGAGACAGUUCGGUCCCUAUCUGUGGUGGGCGUAGGAGAUUUGAGGGGGCCUGCCCUUAGUACGAGAGGACCGGGGUGGACGAAGCUCUUGUGUUCCAGUUGUCACGCCAGUGGCACAGCUGGGUAGCGAACUUCGGUCUGGAUAAGCGCUGAAUGCAUAUAAGCGCGAAACCUUCCCCAAGAUGAGAUCUCCCAACCGAAAGGUAUCAAGGGCCGUGAUAGACGAUCACGUUGAUAGGCCGGAUGUGUAAGCGUAGUAAUACGUUGAGCUUACCGGUACUAAUAGCCCGUUCGGCUUGACC
rnacentral:rRNA from 1 species